AAAGUCGUAACAAGGUUUCCGUAGGUGAACCUGCGGAAGGAUCAUUACCAAUAUGAAAGCGGGUGGGGAGCCACAGAAGUCGGGGCCCUCGUGGCUCUACUUCUGCCCCAUCUGUCUGAAUAUUCACCCAUGUCUUUUGCGUACCCAUUGUUUCCUUGGCGGGCUUGCCCGCCAACAGGACAUUGUUAAACCUUUUGUAAUUGCAGUCAGCGUCAGAAAUAACUUAAUAGUUACAACUUUCAACAACGGAUCUCUUGGUUCUG
rnacentral:misc_RNA from 1 species